rnacentral:lncRNA from 1 species
UUUGAUAUGAAGCAACCAUUUUUUAUCUAUCAUUUCCAUCAAUGUGAGAGUUGAAUUAUUUGAGAGAGAAAUGCACACGUAUGGACUCAAACUCUUGUAUUAUUUGCCUAUAAAAACAUAUAUGAAAGACCUUGAAGGAUAUAAGACCAUCUUCAAUUCCUUACCUAUAACCUCUCUCUCUUUUUCUAUAUCCUUUCAAAAUGAGGACAAGGCGUUCUUUCACAUGGCCAAGAAGGGGCUUGCAUGUAAGGGGAAGGAAGAAAAGGGCCAUUUUCUGUUUAGCAAAAAACUCUAAUGCCUUGAAACCUUCCUUGCAAAAGAAGCUUCGGGUGCUUCAGAAGACAGUUCCAGGGAGCCAUGGAAAAGACAUGAAUACUUUGUUCCAACGCAUUGAAAAGUGUAUACUUCAACUUGAAGCUAAAUUGAUGAUCUUGAGGUGUGUGUCCAAUUUGUAUGGAGUAUAGAAAGAGAUAACACUCCUAAGUCCUAAGCACUCAACCACAAAGUCCAUAUUGUUUUCUAUCUCUACCCUUUAGUCUCUAGAUGAAGAAAUCACCCCACAAAGAGGGUGAAGGUAAAGGUUAAACCUUUGCAAACACCUCCUCUUUGGGGUGUAUGUAGAGGGAUAAUAAGGUUGUUGUAAUUUAUUUAAAUUUAAAUAAAAGUAUGAAUUUUUGCAGCUUCUUGUUCUAUUUUAUAUUUGGAUAAUAAGGUUGUAUUAUUUUUGGAUAAUAAGGUUGUAGAUUUGUGUUUCUUCUUAAACAAACUAUGCUAUAAAUAGUGAUAUAAAAAAUAUGGGAAGAAUGUGAGAUUAAUAGGUGUUAUCCAACCAAGGGAAAUAUCUUGAUAUAUAGUGAUUUCAAAUAAAUAUUGUGCUAUGUCAUACCAUUAAAAAAGUAUUCCAAUCAUUAUUGUGCUAAACUCCGAGAGUUAGGUGCUUAUUUGUUUAUUUACUUAACCUGUUCGCAGUAAGACAAUGAUUAUAUGCAUUAAUGUAACUUGUUUAUUAAUUUAGAAGCUAAGCUUCAUUCUAGGUUGGUGGUAAGACCCAUGUGCGGACAAGAAUUGAUUAGAUUGACAAUGAGAUACUAACUAAGAUAUGAAACGUUGAUAACAUAAAUUAGUGGUGAAUAAUCAUAUUCAGAUUGUAUAACAUUGUGACCAAUGUUACGUUCUUAAAAUGUUUAUAAGGAGAUUGAUCUACAUAAACCUCUUAGUAAUUUAAAUACCAAAGAUUAUAUUGGCUUCACCUUAUACAUUUCAUAUUAAAGUUGGCACAUAUCAAAAAUCAGCAAGUCAUCUACAAGGUAGAAGUUGCCUUCAAUGCUUACCAUCAAGAGUUUGGAGUUAUGGGAAAGUGAGGGGUAUCAUCCACAUUAUAUUCAACUAAUUAUUUGUCAUAAUUCACAAUUACAAAGAGUUUUAUGAGUUUAAAAUCUGUGCACUGAUAGUGUGAAGUUUUUUACACCGUCAGCACAUCAUCUACCAUUGAUUUGUGUUAAACUGCAUAUGAUUAUAUGCUGCAACCCCUACCAUGAAAGAACAGUUAUGGUAUGGAGAAAGCACUCUUAACAUGGACAAAAAUCAUUUGUCUUUAAUUGUGUUCUAUUCCCUAAAUCAAUUAGAAUGUUAUUUUUUUGUUUUCUUUUUAUUCAUAUGUUAAUUUCUGAUUAAUCUAAGACAGAGAAAGAAACAAUGUUAGAAACAUGUGAUCUUUGUCCUCUUAACAAAUAAAAAGGCCCCCUAGAGAGCUAUGCACACCCCUAACCUUAAAUUCCAGAUGCAAUGUGAUUGCAAUAUUUCUGCCACAUAUUUUACUCAGAAUAGAUGCAGCCUCAAUGCUAAUUAUAGAUACAAUAAUAACUGCAUUGGAGUUGAACCAAUUUUUUUUUGUAAUUAUAAUUACUUUAUGUUUAGCCGUAUAUAGUAGCAAUGAUGAGAAUUGGUAUAGAUAGCAUUUUUCAAUAACAUUAUUUUCAAAGCAAUAAUAAUGCAGUAUGUACCCUAUCAAUCUUUGUCUAGCCUAGGCUGGUGUCUUGGCUAGUUUUAGUACACUCAAUUUUAGAAAAAGACCUUUAUGUGUCCUGAUAUACAUUCAUUGAUGGGAUAGGGUACUUUUUUGGUUACUGACACCAUAAGAAAAACAUAGAGUUUAUGAUUCACUGAAUUCACUCAUUGUUCGUUGAAUAUUGCAUUGAGCUCAACUUUUCUUCAGUACAAAGUUAAAACUCAUCUGAAUUAACAUCACUCCUUAUCUUCAAGUUUCUCAAAAUGAGAUUUUGUUUUGUAAUUGUUAAAAGAUGUUUCCUACUUUUGGAUAAUUAUUACUUUCAUUGCAGUGGGACUAAAUAUUAAAAUUCGAAUAGUAUGAGAUUUAUUUUUUCAAUUUUUGAAAGACCAAAUUGAUAAAAUAAAAAAACAUCAAAAAUUAAAAUAACCAUCCACUAUUUUCUUAAUCACUGAUGUUAUAUGUGCAAUCAUUGCUUUACAUAGUAGUGAUAAUUGUGAUAUAAAUUCAGAAAUUGUGGUGGUAAAAGACAUUCAAUAAUUUCACUUUGCAGGAAUUAACAUUUACCUUCUUAUAUUUAGGAUGGUCUUUAAUUUUAGUUUUAUUUUUCUUCUUGUCUUGUUUGAUGUAUUAGUAUUUUAGUUUUGUUAAUUUACAAUUGCAAUGAAAUGAUAAAAUAAUUUGCAAUUGCGGAUAAGACCAAACAGAGUAAUGUCAUUUCAGUAUCUGUUCCUUUGAUUUCCACUGACCCCUCAAAAUGUGCACGAGGCGACGCACGAGUACAACUGUGAAAGGGAUUGCAUAUAUAUGCGAAAAUCAUUAUUGCCCUGCUUCCAAACAAACUCAUAAAUUUCCUAACUUUUACAAAUUUCACAUUUCAUUCAUUGGAACUGUCCUUUUAUCAUUCUAAAUUGAAUUAAUAAUCAUGUGAUUCAAUUCUGAAGUAGUAAAUUGACUGAACUUGCCUGUGUUGCUCAAUUUCUAAAUUAGUUAUAAAAGAAGUUAGUGUUCAGUAUUAUUUAUUUAUAUGGCAGCAGAUCUAUAUAACAAAUUAUCAUCAAAACUUGCCAGGAUCUAGAAUUCUUUUGAGAAAAAAUAUAUAUUUUAAGGAGGUGACGUCAUGGAUGCUUUUAAAUGUUUAUUAUAUUAUUAUUAUUUGUUAAAACAUAAAAAUAAGAUUUCGAUUCCUAAAAAUAACAUUUAUUAAAAGUGACAUUCAUCAAUAUUGUCUAAUCUUAAUUUAAUAUAAGUUUGUCAUAAAACUAAAAUUAAGAUUGGUUUGCCAAAAUAAUAAGGUGAAAGGAAAAAACAUAAUUAGUUACAUAAACACAAAUUGUAUAAUUGACCAAAAAGGAAAAAACAACUGUAGCGAAGAUAAAGUCAUAGAUGUCGAGAAGUCCACGUAGGCGUGAGUCCAAGUCUCCAUACGUAAUAUAAAUCUCAUGUACGUGGUUAAUUCUAGGGUGUGGAGGACCAAUUUUAAUGAUACAAGAUCCCUUAGAUAUCCAGAAUAAUUAAAAAAUUAGAAGUUUUAUUUUUGAAAAUCAUAAUUGUUAGAAGGAGUAACAGUGUAACAUGUACGUAAAAAGAAUUAAUUUCUUACCAAUUAAGAAUAAAAGAAAAAUAUCAUAUUUCAACUAUUAGCCAUCUUCUUGCCAAAACGUCCGUCUUUAUAUUCCAUUCCCUUAAUAAAAAUAUUUGUUCUGUCACCAAGAAUUUAAUCCUCCUUAAAAUAAUGUCACAUAUUAUUCUUAUAUUAUUAUCAAUAUUUAGAGUUUGUCUAUCAACUUGAGAUACCACAAAUAGAUCAGCAACAACAACAAAAAAAUCCAUAAAUAUUUAACAAUGAGCUAAAUUAACAAAAAGAGAAACAUUAGUUUUUGUGAUCUAUCAAUGUAUUUCUCACUUUGAUUUAUGCUAUCAUUAUAGUAUUAUUCCCACUCUCUCCUGGUAAGAUUUGUAUACAUCAUUGUAGAUUAUUAAUCUCAACCACAAUUUGAUUCAUGUUAGUGUGGCCUUUGGAUUCAGUGCAUGCCAAUUGCAUCUGCAUACUCAAUAGUAUUUGGAGUAUACACUUUUUUACUACCAAUUCUUUUUCUCAUAAUAGAACUCGAAAAUUAUCGUUAUAUUUUUUUUUUGAAAAAAAAUGGUCACGUAGUGGAUAUAUCUCAAAAAGAAAUGGCCAUUAUUGGUCUAUUGUAUACAAAGCUCCAGCUACUGGGAGAUACAGUUGUCAUAUUAAGCACAAACUAGUGUUGGAAGUUGACAGAUCCAUACUGAUCACAAAUUCAAUUAUUUGUAUAUCAAAAUUUUAAAAACAUAUAUAACAUUGUAGAUGGGAGUAAAGGUCUAAUGGCCAGGGUGAAGAAUUCAAGAAACGGAGUAUAUGAGAUUGUGGGUUCAAGUCUUACCAACAACAAAUAUUAACAUAGUAACAAUUGCCGAUAAAAAAAAUAUUUUACCUAAGUUUUCAAAAAAUAAAUACCAAAUAUUGUACACACUAGAUUGAUGUCUAAGUUUUGAUAUGAAGCAACCAUUUUUUAUCUAUCAUUUCCAUCAAUGUGAGAGUUGAAUUAUUUGAGAGAGAAAUGCACACGUAUGGACUCAAACUCUUGUAUUAUUUGCCUAUAAAAACAUAUAUGAAAGACCUUGAAGGAUAUAAGACCAUCUUCAAUUCCUUACCUAUAACCUCUCUCUCUUUUUCUAUAUCCUUUCAAAAUGAGGACAAGGCGUUCUUUCACAUGGCCAAGAAGGGGCUUGCAUGUAAGGGGAAGGAAGAAAAGGGCCAUUUUCUGUUUAGCAAAAAACUCUAAUGCCUUGAAACCUUCCUUGCAAAAGAAGCUUCGGGUGCUUCAGAAGACAGUUCCAGGGAGCCAUGGAAAAGACAUGAAUACUUUGUUCCAACGCAUUGAAAAGUGUAUACUUCAACUUGAAGCUAAAUUGAUGAUCUUGAGGUGUGUGUCCAAUUUGUAUGGAGUAUAGAAAGAGAUAACACUCCUAAGUCCUAAGCACUCAACCACAAAGUCCAUAUUGUUUUCUAUCUCUACCCUUUAGUCUCUAGAUGAAGAAAUCACCCCACAAAGAGGGUGAAGGUAAAGGUUAAACCUUUGCAAACACCUCCUCUUUGGGGUGUAUGUAGAGGGAUAAUAAGGUUGUUGUAAUUUAUUUAAAUUUAAAUAAAAGUAUGAAUUUUUGCAGCUUCUUGUUCUAUUUUAUAUUUGGAUAAUAAGGUUGUAUUAUUUUUGGAUAAUAAGGUUGUAGAUUUGUGUUUCUUCUUAAAC